rnacentral:rRNA from 1 species
UGAACGCUGGCGGCAGGCCUAACACAUGCAAGUCGAGCGGUAGCACAGAGAGCUUGCUCUCGGGUGACGAGCGGCGGACGGGUGAGUAAUGUCUGGGAAACUGCCUGAUGGAGGGGGAUAACUACUGGAAACGGUAGCUAAUACCGCAUAAUGUCGCAAGACCAAAGUGGGGGACCUUCGGGCCUCAUGCCAUCAGAUGUGCCCAGAUGGGAUUAGCUAGUAGGUGGGGUAAUGGCUCACCUAGGCGACGAUCCCUAGCUGGUCUGAGAGGAUGACCAGCCACACUGGAACUGAGACACGGUCCAGACUCCUACGGGAGGCAGCAGUGGGGAAUAUUGCACAAUGGGCGCAAGCCUGAUGCAGCCAUGCCGCGUGUGUGAAGAAGGCCUUCGGGUUGUAAAGCACUUUCAGCGGGGAGGAAGGCGUUAAGGUUAAUAACCUUGGCGAUUGACGUUACCCGCAGAAGAAGCACCGGCUAACUCCGUGCCAGCAGCCGCGGUAAUACGGAGGGUGCAAGCGUUAAUCGGAAUUACUGGGCGUAAAGCGCACGCAGGCGGUCUGUCAAGUCGGAUGUGAAAUCCCCGGGCUCAACCUGGGAACUGCAUUCGAAACUGGCAGGCUAGAGUCUUGUAGAGGGGGGUAGAAUUCCAGGUGUAGCGGUGAAAUGCGUAGAGAUCUGGAGGAAUACCGGUGGCGAAGGCGGCCCCCUGGACAAAGACUGACGCUCAGGUGCGAAAGCGUGGGGAGCAAACAGGAUUAGAUACCCUGGUAGUCCACGCCGUAAACGAUGUCGAUUUGGAGGUUGUGCCCUUGAGGCGUGGCUUCCGGAGCUAACGCGUUAAAUCGACCGCCUGGGGAGUACGGCCGCAAGGUUAAAACUCAAAUGAAUUGACGGGGGCCCGCACAAGCGGUGGAGCAUGUGGUUUAAUUCGAUGCAACGCGAAGAACCUUACCUGGUCUUGACAUCCACAGAACUUUCCAGAGAUGGAUUGGUGCCUUCGGGAACUGUGAGACAGGUGCUGCAUGGCUGUCGUCAGCUCGUGUUGUGAAAUGUUGGGUUAAGUCCCGCAACGAGCGCAACCCUUAUCCUUUGUUGCCAGCGGUUCGGCCGGGAACUCAAAGGAGACUGCCAGUGAUAAACUGGAGGAAGGUGGGGAUGACGUCAAGUCAUCAUGGCCCUUACGACCAGGGCUACACACGUGCUACAAUGGCAUAUACAAAGAGAAGCGACCUCGCGAGAGCAAGCGGACCUCAUAAAGUAUGUCGUAGUCCGGAUUGGAGUCUGCAACUCGACUCCAUGAAGUCGGAAUCGCUAGUAAUCGUAGAUCAGAAUGCUACGGUGAAUACGUUCCCGGGCCUUGUACACACCGCCCGUCACACCAUGGGAGUGGGUUGCAAAAGAAGUAGGUAGCUUAACCUUCGGGAGGGCGCUUACCACUUUGUGAUUCAUGACUGGGGU